rfam:Schistosoma haematobium scaffold1393_3, whole genome shotgun sequence.
ACACUGCUGAGAAGUCCCACAAUAGGAUGAAGCGGCCGUCCAGUGU